rnacentral:misc_RNA from 1 species
GAUGAAGAACGUAGCGAAAUGCGAUACUUGGUGUGAAUUGCAGAAUCCCGUGAACCAUCGAGUCUUUGAACGCAAGUUGCGCCCGAAGCCACUAGGCCGAGGGCACGCCUGCCUGGGCGUCACACGCCGUUGCCCCCCCAUCUACUCCUUCGGGAUUGCGGGGGGGCGGAUGAUGGCCUCCCGUGCGCCUAGCCGCGCGGUUGGCAUAAAUACCAAGUCCUCGGCGCCGCACGCCACGACAAUCGGUGGUUGCGAAACCUCGGUUGCCCGUCGUGUGCGUUCGUCGCGCAUCGAGGGCUCGAAAAAAUGCUCGGCUCCGGCUGGGCUUUCAACGCGACCCCAGGUCAGGCGGGGUUACCCGCUGAAUUUAAGCAUAUCAAUAAGCGGAGGA